UCAAGAAAUAUUUUUGAAGGACCUCGUGCUUUCGACAGAAGAACUUUUCAUGUUCAGUCUUACAAUUGGCGCCAAUAUUUGAAUAACAAUUGAAAAACUUCAAGUCGCACUAAGAGUUGCAAUAAUUAUUGCGAGGUGGCGCUUUUGACGUUUACAAACAUUUCGAAUCGUUUUGCUCCAAACAAUUAUGGGACAAACAUAUAUCGCCGUUCGUAUUUACAAAAGGAUUAUCUGUCGAAAGUACGUAGAACGAAAUGUCAAAUAAUAAACGCCUUUACUUCCGGGUGCGUAUUCACUCCCGAAUAAUUGCGAUUUCGCGAAAUGACGUGAAGUCAACAAUCGUAAAAAUGUCAAUCGUAAAUCGCGGAAGAAUCGUCGGAAGCAUCGUGAAUAACCUCGCGCAUGAAGUGUCAACAAUCCGAGGAACGUGAUGACGUAAUGCGCAUGCGCGAGAUCUGACGUCAUACGGCGGCAAAUCUGCAACCAAAAGGACCUGUACCCGAAACUUCUCGUGUUAAAACUGAAGCACAAAAGGAUACAUCAACGAGGAUGAGAUUAUCUUGAUCCGGUGAAUAUUUUAAGGUUAUUAAUGAUUAUUGUAAAAAUCACAAUACCGGAGAUGCAGCAAGAAGAAUAGAUAUUUUUGAUCGUAUUGAUGAUACAAUUAUGUACUAAUAUUCAAAAACACAGUAGAGAUUACGGGAGAAUAGAUGCAAGAAGUGGAAAUGGAUGAUGACGAAUUGAUAUAUGAAGCGAUAAAUAAAUCUUUAAAUACAGCAUAGAUGGACUCCAGCUUUGACUACGAGAGAGUUUCUUAUUAUAAGACAAUUUUUCCGUAUAUUAUGGUCUAUGCAUUGUGAUGCGAUUGUGCGCGGGUCAAGGUGUUCGAGUGAAAGUACGAAAUAUCAGCAACCGCUGAAUAAAUCUUCUAUAAGAAGCUGGGCGGACGUUUGUAUGGAAUUAUUGCGCCAAACGUGCGAUUACGCAGACAUACAAUGAGGUGUAAUCGCUCUCGACGCAUCUGAUAACUGUAGGACGUCGUGUGAUACAAGAAUACUUAAAAUAUGUACAACGCAUCCAGUAAGACGUCGUGUCAUUACAUAUGUAUAUGUAUACCUUUGCGACGUGUGGUGCGAAAGUGCGUGCGGGAUUAGACAGCUGUGGUCAUUCUAUAAGAAACUAUCGAGUGUCUGCCAGAGAGCACCUACACGAGAAGGAGGAAGAGGACUUUCGCUCGUUCGUUAUUCCAGCGCGGAUUGUAUAUAUUCUUGGACACGCGUUUGAGCGCUCGUUAAUUUUUUCUUCUUUUUCAAAUGUGCGGCGUAAUAAGAUGCGAUGCAAGAGGCGAGACGAAAACACGAAAACGAUGACAAUAAGAUGUGGUUUUCAGGUUGGCUCGAAAUGUCUUGAUUUCUGCCACGAAUACAACUCAUAGCCCGCAUACCAGUUCACCCAUGAAGGAAUGGAAAGCAACUUUUUGCCAUGUCAACUCCAAUAACUCGCGGAGAAGAUUUGAAGGAUCUCUCGUUGAGAAUCGUCAUCGGGGAUCAAGCAAGGUGGACGUCGGGACUUUUACCCUGUGUGCGAAAAGCUGAAAAGUCUUUCCCAUUAAAGAGAAAGACAGAGAGAAAGGAACGGGAACGGUGAAGCAAGGCGAGCCGGUGAUCGCGUAGU